rnacentral:rRNA from 1 species
UACGAAGGGGACUAGCGUUGUUCGGAUUUAUUGGGUUUAAAGGGUGCGUAGGCGGCUUUGUAAGUCAGUGGUGAAAUACUCUAGCUUAACUAGAGGGGUGCCAUUGAUACUGCAGAGCUUGAGUACAGAUGAGGUAGGCGGAAUUGACGGUGUAGCGGUGAAAUGCAUAGAUAUCGUCAAGAACACCGAUAGCGAAGGCAGCUUACUGGGCUGUAACUGACGCUGAUGCACGAAAGUGUGGGGAUCAAACAGG